rnacentral:rRNA from 1 species
CAGUCGCCGCGGUAAUACAGAGGGUGCAAGCGUUAAUCGGAAUUACUGGGCGUAAAGCGCGCGUAGGUGGUUCGCCAAGUUGGAUGUGAAAUCCCCGGGCUCAACCUGGGAACUGCAUCCAAAACUGGCGAGCUAGAGUAUGGUAGAGGGUGGUGGAAUUUCCUGUGUAGCGGUGAAAUGCGUAGAUAUUCGGAAGAACACCAGUGGCGAAGGCGGCCCGCUGGACAAGUAUUGACGCUGAUGUGCGAAAGCGUGGGGAGCAAACAGGAUUAGAUACCCCUGUAGUCCCUGUCUCUUAUAC